rnacentral:lncRNA from 1 species
CAGCGAUCAAGGCUUCUGGGGUCCUAAGUGCCUCCGUUCCCUUCCCCAACCACGCAGGCUGGAGGUAGGCUGAGAUGGGUGAUAUACACCUUCCCAACAUGGUUCAAAUCCUCUCACUUUUCCUCUGAUUUACUUUGUUUGUAAGUAGCCAGACCUGAUGUGAUGAAACCCUCCAGCAUCCGGAACUAAUCGGCCUAGGAGUCCAGUUAUGCCAUCCCAACAUAAAACUCAGUAGCAUUCCCUGUGUGGGAAGCAGGGUUCCUUUCACCUGGAUGCUGGGUUUUUUUCUGCGUCAUCUUACGCGACUGCCCUGUGAAUCUGUAACGAUCUUAAAAAAAGAAAUCACUUCAGGGGCUGGAGAGGUGGCUCAGUGGUUAAGAGCACUGGCUGCUCUUCCAGAGGUUCUGAGUUCGAUUCCCAGCAACCACAUGGGAUUCGCAACCAUCGAUGCCCUCUUCUGAUGUGUCCAAAGACAGUGACAGUGUGUUCACUUAUAUUUAAAAAGAAAGAAA